rnacentral:rRNA from 1 species
UACGUAGGUGUCAAGCGUUGUCCGGAUUUAUUGGGCGUAAAGCGUGCGCAGGCGGUUUUGUAAGCCAGAUGUGAAAGCCCCGGGCUCAACCUGGGAACUGCGUUUGGAACUACAAGACUAGAGUGUGUCAGAGGGGGGUGGGAAUUCCGCGUGUAGCAGUGAAAUGCGUAGAGAUGCGGAGGAACACCGAUGGCGAAGGCAGCCCCU